GACCAGAGCCAAGCAGCCAGCAGGUGCUUGAUUGCGGCAACCAUUUUAGAUCUCUGGCCACCCAUAUAAACAGAUCAGUUUCCUGCUGGCAAAGGAGGCAGUAGCAUCAUCUGGCUGCAAGGCUCCAUAACAUUCUGGAGGCCUGACACUCUCCAGGAAAGCAGGCAGCCAUCUCUCUUCUUCUCACAGAGGAAUCCUAGUCUCACUUUGGACCAAGAAAAAGGAAGCCUGAGAGGGUUUUUCAGAACUAACAGAAUGCUGUUAUACCGCACAGAAUCCUCAAAAGUAUGAACAUUUGGAAAUGAAUAAUGGAUGGAUACAGCCACUUCAUUCAUGCCACAUGUUCCUUUGCCAUUUAACAACUACUCAUGGCAAAACGGAGCCUCUUCAAAAUUGUGAAUGGGGAUGGAGAGAAUCAGAAUAAGAAAACCUAAGACCCAAGUGGCUACAAUAUUCACCAGCUGUGUGAGGGGCCUGAUUUGAAGACUGUGAGCACUUGUACACGGGCAUGAGUUUGUUUGGGUUUGUUUGUUUGUUUUUCAAUCAAUCUAUUCUUCAUGUCUUUCUGUGUCCCUCAAUGUGACACGAUGUUUCCAGUACCUAUUUUGCACGUGACAUGUCCAAAAACUCACAAUUGCUCAAUGUGCUAUUACAAAUAAAAUACACGAGAGAGAGCUGCAUAACAACUCUAUCCUGCUAAUCUCUUACUACUAAAUUACAGCAGGGGGCAUUUGUGACGUCACAUGUGCCAUCUAGUUUAAUUAAGUGAUAUAUUUUACUUAAUUGUAACAAGUUUUUCAUCAUGUUAUACAUUGGCAUGCCUACUGUAAGCAAUGUAUUCUGUCUUCUGACUUUAAAGUUAAUCAUUAUUUCUAAUAUUUUUAAUUUUUUGUAAUUAUUAUCCUUUUAAAAAUAUAUA